UACGUAGGGGGCGAGCGUUGUCCGGAAUCAUUGGGCGUAAAGAGCGUGUAGGUGGCUUGGAAAGUCUUACGUGAAAGCCUGCGGCUCAACCGCAGAAGUGCGUAGGAAACUUCCUCGCUAGAGUCCGGAAGAGGAGAGCGGAAUUCCUGGUGUAGCGGUGGAAUGCGCAGAUAUCAGGAGGAACACCCGUGGCGAAGGCGGCUCUCUGGGACGGUACUGACACUGAGACGCGAAAGCGUGGGGGAGCGAACAGG
rnacentral:rRNA from 1 species